rnacentral:sRNA from 1 species
GCCGGGCGUGGUGACGCAUGCCUGUAGUCCCAGCUACUCAGGAGGCUGAGGCAGGGGAAUCACUUGAACCCAGGAGGUGGAGGUUGCAGUGAGCCGAAAUCACACCACUGCACUCCAGCCUGGGUGACAAAGUGAGACUUCGUCUCAA